rnacentral:rRNA from 1 species
GCUCAGGAUGAACGCUGGCGGCGUGCUUAACACAUGCAAGUCGAACGGUGAAGGAGAGCUUGCUCUCCGGAUCAGUGGCGAACGGGUGAGUAACACGUGAGCAAUCUGCCCCUGACUCUGGGAUAAGCGCUGGAAACGGCGUCUAAUACCGGAUACGAGCUGCGAAGGCAUCUUCAGCAGCUGGAAAGAACUUCGGUCAGGGAUGAGCUCGCGGCCUAUCAGCUAGUUGGUGAGGUAAAGGCUCACCAAGGCGUCGACGGGUAGCCGGCCUGAGAGGGUGACCGGCCACACUGGGACUGAGACACGGCCCAGACUCCUACGGGAGGCAGCAGUGGGGAAUAUUGCACAAUGGGCGCAAGCCUGAUGCAGCAACGCCGCGUGAGGGACGACGGCCUUCGGGUUGUAAACCUCUUUUAGCAGGGAAGAAGCGAAAGUGACGGUACCUGCAGAAAAAGCACCGGCUAACUACGUGCCAGCAGCCGCGGUAAUACGUAGGGUGCAAGCGUUAUCCGGAAUUAUUGGGCGUAAAGAGCUCGUAGGCGGUUUGUCGCGUCUGCUGUGAAAACUGGGGGCUCAACCCCCAGCCUGCAGUGGGUACGGGCAGACUAGAGUGCGGUAGGGGAGAUUGGAAUUCCUGGUGUAGCGGUGGAAUGCGCAGAUAUCAGGAGGAACACCGAUGGCGAAGGCAGAUCUCUGGGCCGUAACUGACGCUGAGGAGCGAAAGGGUGGGGAGCAAACAGGCUUAGAUACCCUGGUAGUCCACCCCGUAAACGUUGGGAACUAGUUGUGGGGUCCAUUCCACGGAUUCCGUGACGCAGCUAACGCA